rnacentral:ncRNA from 1 species
UAUGAAACGAGGAUUGGGAUCUGUCAACUAGACCCCAGAUUUAAGCGAGCUAGGGUUGGUGUGAGCCUAGUAAUUUGGACUAUGUUGAAUAUCACCCAUGAGUUACUUUUCUGAAUGCAUUGAAAAACAAGUAAGAAAAGUCGGUUUAAUCCGUUAUCUUUUAUAAGUGGCUAUAUACGCUAUUAGGGUGGUACCGCGGGUAACCUUCUCGUCCCUUGA